rnacentral:tmRNA from 1 species
GGGGCUGAUUCUGGAUUUGACGGGAUUUGCGAAACCCAAGGUGCAUGCCGAGGGGCGGUUGGCCUCGUAAAAAGCCGCAAAAAAUAGUCGCAAACGACGAAAACUACGCUUUAGCAGCUUAAUAACCUGCUUAGAGCCCUCUCUCCCUAGCCUCCGCUCUUAGGACGGGGAUCAAGAGAGGUCAAACCCAAAAGAGAUCGCGUGGAAGCCCUGCCUGGGGUUGAAGCGUUAAAACUUAAUCAGGCUAGUUUGUUAGUGGCGUGUCCGUCCGCAGCUGGCAAGCGAAUGUAAAGACUGACUAAGCAUGUAGUACCGAGGAUGUAGGAAUUUCGGACGCGGGUUCAACUCCCGCCAGCUCCACCA